UACGGAGGAUCCGAGCGUUAUCCGGAUUUAUUGGGUUUAAAGGGUGCGCAGGCGGGAGAUUAAGUCGGCGGUGAAAUUUUGCAGCUCAACUGUAAAAGUGCCUUCGAUACUGGUUUCCUUGAGUGUGGAUGAAGUAGGCGGAAUUUGUGGUGUAGCGGUGAAAUGCUUAGAUAUCACGAGGAACUCCGAUUGCGCAGGCAGCUUACUAAACCACUACUGACGCUCAGGCACGAAGGCGUGGGGGAUCAAACAGGAUUAGAUACCCCCUGUA
rnacentral:rRNA from 1 species